rnacentral:rRNA from 1 species
GAUGAACGCUAGCGGGAGGCUUAACACAUGCAAGUCGUGGGGCAGCACGGGGUAGCAAUAUCCUGGUGGCGACCGGCGCACGGGUGAGUAACGCGUAUGCAACCUACCCAGUACAGGGGGAUAGCCCGGAGAAAUUCGGAUUAAUACCCCAUAAUGAUAUUAAGAGGCAUCUUUUUAUAUUUAAAGCUACGGCGGUACUGGAUGGGCAUGCGUAAGAUUAGCUAGUUGGUAGGGUAACGGCCUACCAAGGCUCCGAUCUUUAGGGGUCCUGAGAGGGUGAUACCCCACACUGGUACUGAGACACGGACCAGACUCCUACGGGAGGCAGCAGUGAGGAAUAUUGGUCAAUGGGCGCAAGCCUGAACCAGCCAUCCCGCGUGAAGGAAGAAUGCGCUAUGCGUUGUAAACUUCUUUUCCGGAGGAAUAAAAUCUUGUACGUGUACAGGACUGAAGGUACUCCGGGAAUAAGCAUCGGCUAACUCCGUGCCAGCCGCCGCCGUAACAC